rnacentral:misc_RNA from 1 species
UCCCCGUUGCCGGGGCAGUCUGAAUAGAAAAAUACAACUAUUCACAAGGGUUGCGCUCGUUAAUGGACUUAACCAAACAUCUCACGACACGAGCUGACGACGGCCAUGCAUCAUCUGUCACUUGGUUCAAUAAAGCACUCACUCCUUUCGGAGUAAUUCCAAGGAUGUCAAACCCUGGUAAGGUUCAUCGGUUAUCAUCGAAUUAAAGAACAUGAUCCGCUACUUGUGCGGGUCCCCGUCAAUUCCUUUAUGUUUUAGUCUUGCGACCGUACUCCACAGGCGGGAUACUUAACGCGUUAGCUUCGCUACUGAAGGGGUCGAUACCUCCAACAGCUAGUAUCCAUCGUUUACGGCGUGGACUAC